UCCAACUCAUGGGUUCAAGUGAUUCUCCUGCCUCAGCCUGCCGAGUAGCUGAGAUUACAGGCGCCCACCUGUGAUCUCAUUCCUUGGUGAAAAUUUACAUUAGUCUGCAUUCUUACCCCAUUCAAAAGUGAAGUGAGAUUCCCUGAACAUGAAAAUUAGCCUAAUUUUGUAUUUUUAGUAGAGACAGGGUUUCACAUGUUGGCCAGGUUAGUCUUGAACUCCUGACUUCAGGUGAUCUGCCUGCCUUGGCCUUUUAAAGUGCUGGGAUUACAGGUGUGAGCCACCUUGCCCGGUCAGGCUUCAGAACUUUGGACUAGGUAACACUAAGCUUCAGCCCUUAGGAAAGACAAGGGUGCUCCCAGGGAAGGCUUUUCAAGCCCCCAUCUUUUACUCCACAUCACUCAGGGCAUGUUCCUCUGCUCACCCUCAUAGUGUGAGUGCAUCUCCAUCCACGUGGGCCGGGUGGGAGUGCAGAUGGGCAAUGGCUGCUGGGAGCUUUACUGCCCGGAGCACAACAUCGAGCCCAGGGUACCAUGCCCAGCCACAAGGCCCUGGGGAGUAGUGAUAACUCCUUCAACACCCUCAGGGAGACCCAGGCUGGCAGACAUGUGUCCCAGGCUGUCUUUGUGGACCUGGAGCCUGCUGUCAUAGGUUGGCAUCAACUACCAGGCCCCUAUAGUGGUACCCAGGGGUGCCUUAGCCAAGGUUUGGCAGGAGGUCUGCAUGCUGAGCAGUACCACAGCCAUCACUGAGGCCUGGGCCCGCCUGGACCACAAGUUUGACCUGAAGUAUGCCAAUCGGGCAUUUAUGCAUUGGUAUGAGGGCAAGGGCAUGGAGGAAAGGGAGCUGUCUGAGGCAUGAGGACUUGGCUGCCCUGGAGAAGGAUUAUGAAGUAGGCACAGCCUUUGGCUGGCAAGGAUGAGCAUGAGGAGUUCUCGGGGUCCCGGCACCUGUAACGCCUGUUCUCUCGUACCUCAGUUGUGUGUGUAUCUCAUUCCGCUGUUUCCUGAACCCCUGCUAAUACAGUUGAUGUUGCAAGUGA